rnacentral:sRNA from 1 species
CCUUCAGGAUUCCACGGUGCCCCAGUGACCAAGUUUAUCCUGUGUCAUGCCUUCAUGACCUAUUUAUUGUUUUCAUUUCCGCUUCAACAUUUUCAGUAUUUAUUUCGCUACAACCAGGAUGUAUUGGCCACCAA